ensembl:lncRNA
AUGAAGUUAAAUGAUGCAGAGAGACUGUCCUCCAGAAAUAUUUCAAGAGGGCUUGGAAUAAACAAACAAAAACAACAUAUAUGUGAUUUUCAUUAUUUAAUUGAUUUAUUAAUAUAUUCAUUCAUUCUAGUGGCAAAACACGUGUCUUCAAAGUUGGGGACAAAGUUUGGAGACAGAACAUUAGAAGCCAACAGAGGAAGGGGGGGGAAGUUGGAUGCCAAUUUUUUGGGACCAUACAAAAUUGUGGCAAUCCAGGGGAAAAGUGUAGAUCUUGUGGAUGACAAAGGGGCAGUCUUCCCCAAAAUCAACAGUGAUCAUUUGAAGCUCUACAUAGCUGACACACCAAAAGUGCCACACUGGGCGGAUAAAAAGCAGGUAAAAGCUUCGGUGGUUGCUCCAUCAUCCCCAUCCCCUGCCGCACCAUCACCUGCUGCACCACUGUCAGCUGCCGCUCCAACACCUGCCGCACCACUGUCAGCUGCCGCACUAUCACUUGCCGCACCACUGUCAGCUGCAGCCCCAUCCCCUGCAGCACCAUCACCUGCUGCACCACUGUCAGCUGCAGCCCCAUCCCCUGCAGCCCCAUCCCCUGCAGCACCAUCACCUGCUGCACCACUGUCAGCUGCAGCCCCAUCCCCUGCAGCACCAUCACCUGCUGCACCACUGUCAGCUGCAGCCCCAUCCCCUGCAGCCCCAUCCCCUGUAGCACCAUCACCUGCUGCACCACUGUCAGCAGUAGCUCCAUCCCCUGCAGCACCACCACCUGCUGCACCACUGUCAGCUGCAGCACCAUCACCUGCCGCACCACUGUCAGCUUCCACUCCAACACCUGCCGCACCACUGUCAGCUGCCGCUCCAACACCUGCCGCACUACUGUCAGCUGCCGCACCAUCACCUGCCGCACCACUGUCAGCUGCAGCCCCAUCCCCUGCAGCACCACCACCUGCUGCACCACUGUCACCUGCCGCACCAUCACCUGCCGCACCACUGUCAGCUGCCGCACCACAGUCAGCUGCCGCCCCAUCACCUGCCACACCACUGUCAGCUGCCGCACCACUGUCAGCUGCCGCACCAUCACCUGCCGCACCACUGUCAGCUGCCGCACCAUCACCUGCCACACCACUGUCAGCUGCCGCACCAUCACAUGCCGCACCACUGUCAGCUGCCACACCAUCCCCUGCAGCACCAUCACCUGCUGCACCACUGUCAGCUGCCGCACCAUCACCUGCUGCACCACUGUCAGCUGCCACACCACCACCUGCUGCACCACUGUCAGCUGCAGCCCCAUCCCCUGCAGCACCACCACCCGCCGCAUCACCGUCAGCUGCCGCACCAUCACCUGCUGCACCACUGUCAGCUGCCACACCACCACCUGCUGCACCACUGUCAGCUGCAGCCCCAUCCCCUGCAGCACCACCACCCGCCGCAUCACCGUCAGCUGCCGCACCAUCAGCAACUCAAUAUACACAAGCUGUUGCAGAGAAGUACGUACAAGAUGCCUGGGCGGGAAAAAAGGUCCAUAUCCUCCUUUCAAAAAUAGGGGCCUACAAAAUAUUUUACUGGGACAUUUACCAAGUUGGUUCCAACAUGGAGAUGGAAAGUGAGGCAAUCAAUGCAUACCUGUCUGUCAUGGUCAAUGAAUACAAUGACCUGAAUACAGGAAAAGCAGCAUUCAUAGAUUCCUAUUCCAUGAUCAAAAUGUGGAACAGAGGCACUCAAAGACUCAAGGUAUAUUGAAUCUGAAUCUAAGUAUUUUUAUUUAUUUGAAUUGAAAUAAUAUUUUGAGUGAGCUAUUUCUAUAGGCAACUGUUUGAGCAAUCUUUUCACAUUUUACUUUAUGUCUUGUAGACACUGACAUUCUUACAAUAUUUUUUGUUAUAGAUGAAACCCCAGCAGUAUGAAAUUAUUGUGGGGAUCAUAAAUGAGCAUCACUACUGGAAACUAGCGGUAAAAAUGAUUAAUUAUCAUAUAAGUCUGCAACUGCAUUAUAUAACUGAAGAAAGCUUCAGUGCAUAU